rnacentral:rRNA from 1 species
ACGGAAGGCAGCAGUGAGGAAUAUUGGUCAAUGGGCGAGAGCCUGAACCAGCCAAGUAGCGUGAGGGACGACGGCCCUACGGGUUGUAAACCUCUUUUGUUCGGGAAUAAAGGGUCCCACGUGUGGGAUUUUGUAUGUACCGUUCGAAUAAGCAUCGGCUAAUUCCGUGCCAGCAGCCGCGGUAAUACGGAAGAUGCGAGCGUUAUCCGGAUUUAUUGGGUUUAAAGGGAGCGUAGGCGGUCCUUUAAGUCAGCGGUCAAAUGUCGGGGCCCAACCCCGGCCUGCCGUUGAUACUGGAGGACUUGAAUACACACAAGGAAGGUGGAAUUCGUCGUGUAGCGGUGAAAUGCUUAGAUAUGACGAAGAACUCCGAUUGCGAAGGCAGCCUUCUGGAGUGCGAUUGACGCUGAGGCUCGAAAGCGCGGGUAUCAAACAGGAUUAGAUACCCUGGUA